AAUAUAGUGCCUGAUUUAAAAGGAUAGCUUUGAUAGAGCUAAUAAUGUAAUAUUUCUUACCUAUAUUA
rnacentral:tRNA from 1 species